rnacentral:rRNA from 1 species
CACCAGACUCCUACGGGAGGCAGCAGUGGGGGAUAUUGCACAAUGGGGGGAACCCUGAUGCAGCGACGCCGCGUGGGUGAAGAAGUAUUUCGGUAUGUAAAGCCCUAUCGGCAGGGAAGAAAUUGGACGGUACCUGACUAAGAAGCCCCGGCUAACUACGUGCCAGCAGCCGCGGUAAUACGUAGGGGGCAAGCGUUAUCCGGAUUCACUGGGUGUAAAGGGAGCGUAGACGGCCAUGCAAGCCUGGAGUGAAAGCCCGGGGCCCAACCCCGGGACUGCUCUGGGAACUGUGCGGCUGGAGUGCGGGAGGGGCAGGCGGAAUUCCUGGUGUAGCGGUGAAAUGCGUAGAUAUCAGGAGGAACACCGGCGGCGAAGGCGGCCUGCUGGACCGCGACUGACGUUGAGGCUCGAAAGCGUGGGGAGCAAACAGGAUUAGAUACCCCAGUAA